AUCAUCAUUAACAGUAUGAUACAUGUACAAUCAUAUGAUUUAUACUUUUAAUGACCUGACCAUAUAAAAUUAUUGACGGAUUAUACAUGUUGCAAUAAUGAUUACUAGAAUGGGAAAUGAAAAAUAAUAUGUAGAGUACAAAAUCAUUCAUGGUAUGAUUUGGGUUGCUAUUCACACACGAAGGCAGAAAUUAGGUAAAUUCUUGGGUACAUUUCAUUUUCAGUGUAAUAGAGACAUUUCUGCCAACGGCAGUUUUUGUCGAGCCAAAUUGACCAACGGCCAUUGAAAAGUUUUCGCAAAGUCGGUGUUGAAAUACAUAAACAUCCGUUUCCUUCUCGUUUCCUUCCACUUCAAGCGGAAAUCGUAAAACGGUGUUCCGCCACUGCGCUAGGGGAUUCGGCGGAGCUGCAAGGAUUUGCAUGCGAAGGAUUCCGGAACUCUGAUGGAUACACCAAGUCUCGGACACAAUGAGUCUGGCACGACCAAUAAUGGUCAUAAACCUUUCAAUCAGCUUUCAACUUCAUUGGGGUGAUGUCAGUUGCCAUUUAUGUUACAUUCUUUAUUUACGAGACUUGCAGUCCGUGGUUGGCUCGUCUCGUAAAUAACACAACGUUUACUAAUUAUUUAAAAAAAUGAAAAAUAAAUGAAUUUUAUUUAUAAUAAAAUAAAUUGAAAUCAUAUCAAGUUAAAGAGCUAUAUUAUAUAA